CUACAAAAGCGGGUUAUCGCUUCAUUCUUGUAAUGGAGAGGAAAGUCCGGACAGUAUAUAGUAGCGCGCUACCUAACGGGUAGGCAACUCUGUAAAGGGUUGACAGACAGUGCCACAGAGAAUAACCGCCAUUCUAAAGAGAGGGUGGUAAGGGUGAAAACGUAGUGUAAGAGACUACGAUAUGCCUUAGUGAUAGGGUGUAUGGGUAAACCUUGCGUACUGAAAUGCCAAAUAAGCAGACGUUUGAGGGUCACUUGCCCGAUGUUUGUGGGUUGGCAGCUAGAGGUGAAGCGUGAGUUUCAUCCCAGAUAAAUGAUAACCAUCUUGUUGUAAAAGACAGGAUACAGGAUCCGGCUUAUAGUUUUUGUGGUUUU
rnacentral:RNase_P_RNA from 1 species